rnacentral:rRNA from 1 species
ACCGGCGCACGGGUGCGUAACGCGUAUGCAAUCUACCUUUUACAGAGGGAUAGCCCAGAGAAAUUUGGAUUAAUACCUCAUAGUAUACAUUUGUGGCAUCACAGAUGUAUUAAAACUUCGGUGGUAAGAGAUGAGUAUGCGUCCUAUUAGCUAGAUGGAGUGGUAACGGCACACCAUGGCAACGAUAGGUAGGGGCCCUGAGAGGGGGAUCCCCCACACUGGUACUGAGACACGGACCAGACUCCUACGGGAGGCAGCAGUGAGGAAUAUUGGACAAUGGGCGGAAGCCUGAUCCAGCCAUGCCGCGUGCAGGAAGACUGCCCUAUGGGUUGUAAACUGCUUUUAUACAGGAAGAAACCUCCUUACGUGUAGGGAGCUGACGGUACUGUAAGAAUAAGCAUCAGCUAACUCCGUGCCAGCAGCCGCGGUAAUACGGAGGAUGCAAGCGU